AUGACGAUAGCAUAAAUUUUUUAUUGUGCUUUCUUUCCAAGUAAGCGGUCUCUUAUUUUAUUUCGAGAGUUGUCAUA
rnacentral:tRNA from 1 species